CGGGCGCGCGGGGGAGGGCGGAGGGAGCGUCCGAGAAAAGCGUCCCUUCUUCCCUUCCGAAGGCGAGCUCUUGGAGCGUAGCUCUCGUUCUACGUAUUUAUACAACCGGGAUGGCGCAUUUUUUCCCCUCAGGCGCCCCCCUUCCCCCGCUUUCCCUCAGAAGUUCUCUCGCGGCCUCUCCGAGCGCCUUUCAGAGGGCGAGCGGGCAGGCGCCCUCUUUUAAGGCGUGGGCGGGACACGCUGCGCGCUCCUAUUGGCGGGCUCCCUCCUUUGACUCCUCCCCCUCCCCCCCUCUGCGCCGCCUCAGCUGAAGAACCAAAUCACAAAAUGGAGGCCUUGCCAAGAGGAGCAGUGGGCCUCUCCUGCCUGAGGUGCUUUCUCCUCCUCUUGUUGGAUUUCCCCCCUGGCUGGCCUUUUUAAAAAAACCCUUCUGAAGAGGACAAGCAUCCAUUUCAUAAAAUGGCCACAGGACCCCUUGGAGAACAAGAACAAAUAGCUAGGCCUAUCCAUUUGACAUUUGACCUCCCUCCUGUAGUUCUUCUGCCAUCAUUUUCCUCAGAGGUGCCCUUUCCCCCUGAAGAGAUUUGUUUUUUUGAAAAAAGGGCGUAGUUUAGGCAGAUACUCGCAACCUUCAUUCGCCUCAGACCCUUCUUUUUUGGCUUUCCUCCUCAUCCCUCCCAGUGUCACCAUUUUCUUCAGAGAUGCUGAAAGUAGUGUCAUAAAUAUGGCUGCAUGGUGCCCCUCCCCCCGUCUUUUUCUUCCAGUCAUAUCCCACAGUAGUUCACCUCGUUUUCAAAAAAACUGUCCAGAAAAAACCCCCAUGUUCAUUAGUUGAUAGAAAGGGACACUUAAAAAAAUAACAACUAGGACUUACUUUGUUUAUUGUGAUUCCCAUCUCUUCACAGGUGACUUCUCAGGAGAAGGACGAUUGUAUUUGUUUGAGGAGUAUUUUGUAUAUAACAUUGAGAUGCCGAUGUGUUUCUCCAUUAAGCUUUCUAAACAAAAAAUUUAAGAAAGGUCACAUUUCAGAGUGCGCAAUGCCAUCAGCACGGCUUCUCUUAUUCAAAGAAAUAAUACGUCGGUUAUGUUCACAGUGUGUUUUGAUAGGAUUGCGAUAUUGCUGUUUUAUAUGCUGGCCCCUUUCAUCUGAAGAAACAAAAGUUAGAGAACUAAGAAAAGACUCACUAUUCUACGCAGUGUUUCUUGACUAUUGCCUGCUUGGCAUGGAAUCUGGAUCAUCAACACCAUGUCAGUUCUACAAACUCAAAAGGUACAUGUGGAUUUGGAGACCAGUGCAAGCAUUUGAACAAGAUGUUGGAUACCCUGAGAAGAGGAGACAGAGCUCAUUUCUGAGAUACUUAAAGGAGUCUUCGAUUAUUCCAUUGGCAGAACAGAUACAUGAUUGGAAGACUUUAUAAUGUGAUUUUGACAAAAUUAGUCGGAUAAACUGCUGAGGGGAAAAGCCUGAACAGAAGAAUUAAAGGAUGAAAGAAAUGGUCAAGCUGAAUCUUUUUAAACACUGGAAAGAUAAUGAUGGCCUAGGAUUCUGCAGCAUGCUGCUUGGAGUGUUUUUAGGUGAAAUGGAAGUGGUCCUCUUCUUUGUGAGCAUUGUCUGUGUCUCCUCUUUCUCCAGCAUAUUCUCUCUCAUCUACUCCUCCUAUGUGGGUUCUCUUCUUACCAUCAUUUGGUGAAAAGCUCCGUAAAAUGGAGGUCUUUUUUUGUCUCAAGUAAGUGUGGCAUUCUUCCUUGUGAGCUCUGCUAUUGGCUCUCUCCUUUGUCCUGCCCAUCUCUUGCUCCUCCCUGCCACCAUUUUGUGAAAUGGCAGCCGUUUGCUUUUAUUCCUAAAGGGAGUGUGGCAUUCUUCCUUGUUCUCCAAAGAAAAUAACUAUAUAACUUGACAUUGUAUUGUGAACUCUCUCUACCUGGAUUUAUUCCCCUGAUAUUGUAAAGACUCGACUUUUCUUUGAUGAUGAGGUUCAUUGCAAACUUAUGUUAUUCUGUUAUGUGUUAGAGGACAGUGAUUGUCUUGUGUAUUCUGCAUCAUCUUUAUGCAAUUGCUUUUUGUUAUGAAAUGUGAAGUGUUCAAAACAUGGACCAGUGCUGUAUGAGAAAAGAGUAUGACCCAUGCAGUACUUUGGAGCUCUCCCUUUCUUAUCUAUUUUAUUUAAUAUAUCUAAGUGGAACACAAAUCAUGCAAAUACACAUCCUGCAAUGUUAA